rnacentral:rRNA from 1 species
AAUAGAUACCCGGGUAGUCCACGCCGUAAACGAUGAGUGCUAAGUGUUAGAGGGUUUCCGCCCUUUAGUGCUGCAGCUAACGCAUUAAGCACUCCGCCUGGGGAGUACGGCCGCAAGGCUGAAACUCAAAGGAAUUGACGGGGGCCCGCACAAGCGGUGGAGCAUGUGGUUUAAUUCGAAGCAACGCGAAGAACCUUACCAGGUCUUGACAUCCUCUGCCAACCCUAGAGAUAGGGCGUUCCCCUUCGGGGGACAGAGUGACAGGUGGUGCAUGGUUGUCGUCAGCUCGUGUCGUGAGAUGUUGGGUUAAGUCCCGCAACGAGCGCAACCCUUGAUCUUAGUUGCCAGCAUUCAGUUGGGCACUCUAAGGUGACUGCCGGUGACAAACCGGAGGAAGGUGGGGAUGACGUCAAAUCAUCAUGCCCCUUAUGACCUGGGCUACACACGUGCUACAAUGGAUGGUACAAAGAGUUGCGAACCCGCGAGGGUAAGCCAAUCUCAUAAAGCCAUUCUCAGUUCGGA